rnacentral:pre_miRNA from 1 species
UCUUACGGGUGAGCAAAGAAACUGGUUUCCAGACAUGGAAUUUACUCCUGGUGAAGAUGCUGUGAA